rnacentral:rRNA from 1 species
UGAGUGCUUGCACUUGGAUGGACUGAGUGGCGGACGGGUGAGUAACGCGUGGGUAACCUGCCUUAUACAGGGGGAUAACAGUUGGAAACGACUGCUAAUACCGCAUAAGCGCACGGUUCCGCAUGGAACAGUGUGAAAAACUCCGGUGGUGUGAGAUGGACCCGCGUCUGAUUAGCUAGUUGGCAGGGCAACGGCCUACCAAGGCGACGAUCAGUAGCCGACCUGAGAGGGUGAUCGGCCACAUUGGGACUGAGACACGGCCCAAACUCC